rnacentral:lncRNA from 1 species
GGUGGAUUGUUAUUUUCGACGUAGUGGGUGAUCUGACUGAAAAACCACUUUUCUGUUUCCUUUCUAUAUGUCACAAGCUGCGUCAGAUUCGAAGCCGAAUAUUUCCCUUACUGCAUCCUCAAUUAAGAAAAAAUAAAUAGAAUCUGUGUGGCCGUUACGCAGGCUCAUCCGCCAGCUCUCACUCUUCCACCAAGCAACGUUUCCUGUUGGGAGAAUGCGCGCUUCCUUAAAAACUCAAGUUGCCCUGCUGCACCCCCUGCCGAAGACUUUGCUCUCAGCAAGCAUCCUGCUGCCCAGCACCCUGUUUUGGUUGCAGUGCUUCCCCAGAGCUCCUGGACUGCUGCAAACCAACUAAAUAUCUCAUCAG